UUUCGCUUCGAUCGGCGGAAGGGACGAUCCAGUUCCUGUAACGAUUUUCAUGGUGAUUAAUCGUCUUAACUCCUCCUAAUUAGUGAGCCCACUUGGAAGCUUUCGCUUGCGAUGUACGUCGGCUAGAUCUGCUAUAAAUAUGUUACGAUCCCUUCUCUGCGAAUUGCGAUCUCUGCAUCUCUCUUCUUAUCAUCUCACUCAUAUUCAUACGAUCUCUGCAUCUCUCUUCUUAUCAUCUCACUCAUAUUCAUACGAUCUCUGCAUCUCUCUAUUAAUCAUCUCACUCAUAUUCAUAUCUGUCUCAACCACAAAGACUGAGAUGGUCUGUCGUUGUUUACUUCUUUCUUACUCAAUACUCAACCUGUUGUUUAUGAGUGAGAUGAUUAACAGAGAGAUGCAGAGAUGUAAUGUAUAUGUAGUUCCUUAUCAUAUUUAACCAAGGAAGCUUGAAGAUCAUCAGCCACCAUCCCUACUUCAAGUGGAGAUACAAAACAUAGACAGAUUCUCAGGAGUUGAUUGCUUAGAUCUCCUCCUUCUCCAUUCUAUUUUUCCAUUCAUUCUGUUAGCUGAUACAUUUUUAUUUGUUUUCUUCCUGUGUCAGAGAUUAGUUGUCGACAGGUGCAUCACGAGGUGGCGGUGAGAGAUCAGCUGGAGAAGAAAGAUGGACGUGGACGUGUCCAGAUGGACGUCCAUGGACAGAGUGUCCAGUUGACAUCCUUAGAUCCAGAGUGAAAGAAGACAAAGCCAGAGUUUCACGACAGACAAGAAAGUCAAUAUUAACAAACCUUUGAACACGAUCUACAAUAAGACGAGUCUAUGUAGUUUCUUUGGAUCUAAAACAAUAGCUUGCAUCCGUAAAAUUCAUCAGGUCUUUGCUCACAAACAUUAUUAGCAGAUAAACUCUCUCAGGCGGAUUAACUACGCCGACCAACCAGGAUCCUAUUUGUCUCUUAUGCCAACGCUUACAAGACGUUCAUUCAUCAUGUACCAAUCUCGAUUCUAUGAUUUACGUUGAGAUCCGUACGGAGCAUAGACAAAUACGGUGAAGGAAUGGAAUUGACGUGCUGGAAGCCCGAGGCUUAACGAACGGGUCUUUCUGAUAAUGAGGUAUGCUCUCUUUUGUACUGGAAACAACAUCUGCAACAACAAAUAAUUGUGACUGGUGAGUCCCUAUGGGAGGAUUUUAGCAUUUUAAGACUUCUAAAGUGUCAGUGAUUCACACUCAGCUUACUUUCUCAAGAACAAUUAAUCUCGAGCAAGCUGCUCAGAUUCUGCGAAGCAUGAAACGUUGAACGUGGUGAGAGUAUAGUAGUUGCUGUGGAUUUUCCCUGGAGUCCGCCGUGGUUAUGUUACUGACGUUGUAGCUUUGAAUCAUCUUACAAACAAGAAAGAUUCGAUAUCAAGAAACCCUAAGCCUAUCAAUCCCUUUCUUUGUUCCCGACGUUCAAGAGAUCGAGAUGCUGGAGUCGACGUGAAGAAUAACUUUGUUUGGUUUCGAUUCCGUCGUUUGAUCGUGUGUAAGACGAAUUGUCGUGAAGAGUCCAUGUCCGAGUUUCAUUGGCGUCCGUUUUCCGUUCUUAUGAGAUUCUUCUCCUCUGAAACGGUACGGGAUCCAUUGAAGUCGACAUUAACAACCAUCUUUACUUCUUCGACCACAACAGGCACGAUCAAUCUAUAAAAAGGAGACAUGGCCAGAGCCAUAACCAUGAACUCCUUCAGAUCUUACUCUCUCGGACAGACCUUCCGAGCAUCUCAUAGUUUCGACGAUUCUUGCUUGGCUCAACAACGGCGGCAGUGAAGAUGGCGGUUCUUGCUUGGCUCAACGGCGGAGAUUGGAGCAUGGUGAAUCGAGAGUGGUGCGGGUAGGAUGACGAGUUUGGCUUAAAGCUCCGACGAUGCGAUUUAAAAAAAAAAACGCUGCUCCAAAUACAUAUCAAGAUCGAGAAGAACUUUACGCACGUUGACCAUUUAGAGGCCGGGAAAGAAGACUAGGAAGAGGAACAGCUCCUUCAGUGAGACCCCUUCGGUGAGCACGUUACCAUGAAACAAAGCCUUUGGAUCAUGCUUGGUGCCAUUGAAGUAUUAUCUUAUUUACAUCAUGUAAGAAAAUAUGGGACCUCAGGCUUGCAAGAGAAGGCCCCCAGGCGGACAAUACUCACGUUACAACUGCAGUAUCUAAUAUUUCUUUAGCUACUUGGGUUAAUUGUGUCAGUAGUUUUAGUAGUAUGUAUUCGGUUAGGUUUGUUAAGGUGUACAUAUUUUAGAUGAUGAAACAUUCCAAAAAGAAAAUGAUGAAUCAUUUGAUAUUUCUACUUCUUCAAAUUUAUCUACCUGCACUUUAUACAAAUUUGAAACACAUGGUUAUGCAGCUCUUAAAUACGUGCAGAUAUACCAUCUUCUGUUAAAGAGGGAUCUCUACGGCUUUGGUGUUGUGCUCAACUAGAUCAUAACCCGACGCGGCGACGCCAGAACCAAUGAGAGAAACAAACCUCACGCUGAACCUGAUGAUUGAUUGCUCUACAAUAACUACGCAGCUGCAAGAGCACGGAGUUUGGGCAGACUAGCUGAUCUUUGUUUCAAAAAAAAACGAUAACGAUCGGCCCAAGAUGAAAGUUUGUAGCGGAAAAUUUGAUGAAGAUUAUCAAAGAAUUUGAGAGUGAGAUUGUUAGAUGGCCAGUAAGGAAAGUAGUGAAGUAAGAAGCAAGAAUCGAGCCACAUGACAUGUGAGGAGGAGUUGGUGUUGGAGUACAACUUUUGCGUUUUCAAGUUUUUUUUUCCAAGUUUUAUACCAUAUAUCUAUAUGCAUAUACAUAUCAAUUAAAGUCAAUUUAGUGGUACGUGCGAGUAUUUGGUCUGUCAAAUAUAUCAAUGAGACGAUCACUUAAUAUAAUAUCAUAUUACAAAGCUUGGUUUGCUAAAA